GGUUAAGCGACUAAGCGUACACGGUGGAUGCCCUGGCAGUCAGAGGCGAUGAAGGACGUGCUAAUCUGCGAUAAGCGUCGGUAAGGUGAUAUGAACCGUUAUAACCGGCGAUUUCCGAAUGGGGAAACCCAGUGUGAUUCGUCACACUAUCAUUAACUGAAUCCAUAGGUUAAUGAGGCGAACCGGGGGAACUGAAACAUCUAACUACCCCGAGGAAAAGAAAUCAACCGAGAUUCCCCCAGUAGCGGCGAGCGAACGGGGAGCAGCCCAGAGCCUGAAUCAGUGUGUGUGUUAGUGGAAGCGUCUGGAAAGGCGCGCGAUACAGGGUGACAGCCCCGUACACAAAAAUGCACAUGCUGUGAGCUCGAUGAGUAGGGCGGGACACGUGGUAUCCUGUCUGAAUAUGGGGGGACCAUCCUCCAAGGCUAAAUACUCCUGACUGACCGAUAGUGAACCAGUACCGUGAGGGAAAGGCGAAAAGAACCCCGGCGAGGGGAGUGAAAAAGAACCUGAAACCGUGUACGUACAAGCAGUGGGAGCCUCUUUUAUG
rnacentral:rRNA from 1 species